rnacentral:lncRNA from 1 species
GCUAAUCACAUUUCUCUGCAAUCACAAAUCACAAUUCAAAAGAAAAUCUCAGAAAAUUCUCUCAUUUUUCUCUCACUUUUUCACAUUUGGCAUAUUCACCUUUUUGAUUUCUCACCAAGAAUCCAUCAAGAUUCUUUGAUUCCUGGUGCGAUUUUUCUGUUAGAUCACAUUUGCAGGUACCAUUUUCGCUUCUGUUGAAGGAGAUCGAAACAAAGCCUUGGCUGAUUCUUGCUGUGAAAAAACCUGCGUCGUCAAAUUGCAGUUCAAGAAAUCGCUUGAUGCAACUAUGCUGGAGCUGGAUUAGCAUCUUCAUUAACCUUCGAACCGACAUCUUGUUCUGUUUCGCGAUUUGAAGCUCGAUCGCACGGUUCCGCCAUCACUGCUCAUCAAGAAAAGG